UGGGGAAUAUUGGACAAUGGGGGCAACCCUGAUCCAGCAAUGCCGCGUGUGUGAAGAAGGUCUUCGGAUUGUAAAGCACUUUCGACGGGGACGAUGAUGACGGUACCCGUAGAAGAAGCCCCGGCUAACUUCGUGCCAGCAGCCGCGGUAAUGCGAAGGGGGCUAGCGUUGCUCGGAAUGACUGGGCGUAAAGGGCGUGUAGGCGGUUUACACAGUCAGAUGUGAAAUCCCCGGGCUUAACCUGGGAGCUGCAUUUGAUACGUGUAGACUAGAGUGUGAGAGAGGGUUGUGGAAUUCCCAGUGUAGAGGUGAAA
rnacentral:rRNA from 1 species